rnacentral:rRNA from 1 species
GACGAACGCUGGCGGCGUGCUUAACACAUGCAAGUCGGACGAAGAGCGAUGGAAGCUUGCUUCUAUCAAUCUUAGUGGCGAACGGGUGAGUAACGCGUAAUCAACCUGCCCUUCAGAGGGGGACAACAGUUGGAAACGACUGCUAAUACCGCAUACGAUCUAAUCUCGGCAUCGAGGAUAGAUGAAGGGUGGCCUCUACAUGUAAGCUAUCACUGAAGGAGGGGAUUGCGUCUGAUUAGCUAGUUGGAGGGGUAACGGCCCACCAAGGCGAUGAUCAGUAGCCGGUCGGAGAGGAGGAACGGCCACAUUGGGACUGAGACACGGCCCAGACUCCUACGGGAGGCAGCAGUGGGGAAUCUUCCGCAAUGGACGAAAGUCUGACGGAGCGACGCCGCGUGAGUGAUGACGGCCGUCGGGUUGUAAAGCUCUGUUAAUCGGGACGAAAGGCCUUCUUGCGAAUAGUGAGAAGGAUUGACGGUACCGGAAUAGAAAGCCACGGCUAACUACGUG